rnacentral:rRNA from 2 species
UCUGAUGGAGCACGCCGCGUGAGUGAAGAAGGGUUUCGGCUCGUAAAACUCUGUUGUUAGAGAAGAACAGCCGUGAGAGCAACUGCUCACGGUAUGACGGUAUCUAACCAGAAAGUCACGGCUAACUACGUGCCAGCAGCCGCGGUAAUACGUAGGUGGCAAACGUUGUCCGGAUUUAUUGGGCGUAAAGGGAGCGCAGGCGGUUUAUUAAGUCUGAUGUGAAAGCCUUCGGCUUAACCGGAGAAGUGCAUCGGAAACUGAUAAACUUGAGUGCAGAAAAGGAUAGUGGAACUUCAUGUGUAGCG